rnacentral:rRNA from 2 species
CAGGUGGUCAGGUAGAGAAUACCAAGGCGCUUGAGAGAACUCGGGUGAAGGAACUAGGCAAAAUGGUGCCGUAACUUCGGGAGAAGGCACGCUGACACGUAGGUGAAGUGAUUUACUCAUGGAGCUGAAGUCAGUCGAAGAUACCAGCUGGCUGCAACUGUUUAUUAAAAACACAGCACUGUGCAAACACGAAAGUGGACGUAUACGGUGUGACGCCUGCCCGGUGCCGGAAGGUUAAUUGAUGGGGUCAGCGCAAGCGAAGCUCCUGAUCGAAGCCCCGGUAAACGGCGGCCGUAACUAUAACGGUCCUAAGGUAGCGAAAUUCCUUGUCGGGUAAGUUCCGACCUGCACGAAUGGCGUAAUGAUGGCCAGGCUGUCUCCACCCGAGACUCAGUGAAAUUGAACUCGCUGUGAAGAUGCAGUGUACCCGCGGCAAGACGGAAAGACCCCGUGAACCUUUACUAUAGCUUGACACUGAACAUUGAGCCUUGAUGUGUAGGAUAGGUGGGAGGCUUUGAAGUGUGGACGCCAGUCUGCAUGGAGCCGACCUUGAAAUACCACCCUUUAAUGUUUGAUGUUCUAACGUGGACCCGUGAUCCGGGUUGCGGACAGUGUCUGGUGGGUAGUUUGACUGGGGCGGUCUCCUCCUAAAGAGUAACGGAGGAGCACGAAGGUUGGCUAAUCCUGGUCGGACAUCAGGAGGUUAGUGCAAUGGCAUAAGCCAGCUUGACUGCGAGCGUGACGGCGCGAGCAGGUGCGAAAGCAGGUCAUAGUGAUCCGGUGGUUCUGAAUGGAAGGGCCAUCGCUCAACGGAUAAAAGGUACUCCGGGGAUAACAGGCUGAUACCGCCCAAGAGUUCAUAUCGACGGCGGUGUUUGGCACCUCGAUGUCGGCUCAUCACAUCCUGGGGCUGAAGUAGGUCCCAAGGGUAUGGCUGUUCGCCAUUUAAAGUGGUACGCGAGCUGGGUUUAGAACGUCGUGAGACAGUUCGGUCCCUAUCUGCCGUGGGCGCUGGAGAACUGAGGGGGGCUGCUCCUAGUACGAGAGGACCGGAGUGGACGCAUCACUGGUGUUCGGGUUGUCAUGCCAAUGGCACUGCCCGGUAGCUAAAUGCGGAAGAGAUAAGUGCUGAAAGCAUCUAAGCACGAAACUUGCCCCGAGAUGAGUUCUCCCUGAGACUUUAGGUCUCCUGAAGGAACGUUGAAGACGACGACGUUGAUAGGCCGGGUGUGUAAGCGCAGCGAUGCGUUGAGCUAACCGGUACUAAUGAACCGUGAGGCUUAACCUUACA